AGUGAACGCUGGCGGCAGGCCUAAUACAUGCAAGUCGAACGAACGCACAGUAAGCGUUCGCCUUUAAGGUUGGCGGCUGGCGGAUGAGUAAGACGUACAUCACAAUCCUAUUAUACGUGGAGAACUACGGGAGACAACAUCUGAUACCACAGAAUAUGUUCUACGGCAGGAUGCAGGGGUUCAAGGCACCUUUGCUGUUUCUAUGAGCUGGAGUCGGGCCGGAUUAGCUAGUUGGUAAGGUAACGGCCCACCAAGGCAACGAUCCGUAGCCGACCUGAGAGGAUGAUCAGCCACACUGGAACUGAGACACGGUCCAGACUCCUACGGGAGGCAGCAGUGGGGAAUAUUCGACAAUGGGCGCAGGCCUGAUCGAGCCAUACCGCGUGAGUGAAGAAGGCCUUCGGGUUGUAAAACCCUGUUAUUAGGAAAGAAAAGCAGCGUAUGAAUACCCCGCUGUUCUGACGGUACCCAAAGAGAAAGCACCGGCUAACUUCGUG
rnacentral:rRNA from 1 species